rnacentral:rRNA from 1 species
GACGAACGCUGGCGGCGUGCUUAACACAUGCAAGUCGAACGGUGAAGGGGUCUGCUUUUGUGGGCCCUGGAUGAGUGGCGAACGGGUGAGGAACACGUGAGUAACCUGCCCCCUUCCUCUGGAUAACCGUAUGAAAGUGUGGCUAAUACGGGAUAUUCUGGGUCUGUCGCAUGAUGGGUCUGGGAAAGAUUGCGCCUUUGGGGGAUUUUGGUGGGGGAUGGGCUCGCGGCCUAUCAGCUUGGUGGUGGGGUGAUGGCCUACCAAGGCGGUGACGGGUAGCCGGACUGGGAGGGUGGACGGUCACACUGGGACUGAGACACGGCCCAGACUCCUACGGGAGGCAGCAGUGGGGAAUAUUGCACAAUGGGGGCAAGCCUGAUGCAGCGACGCCGCGUGAGGGAUGGAAGCCUUCGGGUUGUAAACCUCUUCCGCCAGUGAAGCAGGCCUGCUCCUUGUGAGUGGGUUGACGGUAGCUGGAUAAGAAGCGCCGGCUAACUACGUG